UUCAGUGAUGCUUAUAUUAUUUUAAAACCUGUUGUUGUGCAAUGUGAAUGUCGCGAUCGUGAAGCCGAAUUGAAGAGUCACGAGGUCGAAGGUAGCUUUAGGCCUCGGGAUCUAGGCAAAUUCUGUAUGUCUUGGCCAAGUAUUAGUUGCCGAAUCCCGAUAUAGGUCGAAACCGAAACAUGGACAUUUUACACUUGUAAUUGUUGUGAUUAUUAGUACUGAAGUUAUGAAUAGUUUAUAAUCCAAACUUAGAUUGUUUAUUACCUGUUAAUUUGUAAUUAAAUAAUUAUUUGGUAUGUUGAAUGAUAAUGACGAUAUUCGUUUUUGGUCCCAAACUUAAUAGUUGAUAUUGUAAAUCUCCUGUUUUGUUAGCCUUACACUUAUGUGACUACGCGUAUAAUUUAAAAUGCCCUUUACUGCAUUAUGAUUAAAGUUUAAAAUUGUAAAGUACAUGCGUGGCGCUGAAAACGUUUAAUUGUUUAACCUCUCGUCUGUGUACAAACAGCGACACUCUUAACUGUCCAUCGGUGGGCCUUAUGCCUAUUGUAAUGAGGUGUACGAACUGUCAGUUAACAGUGUGGGCGGUGGUCGAGAAUGAUUCUGUCUGCUCUAUUCAGUGCGACUGAGGUUUGAACACACCGUUUUUGACCACCAACACAUACGAAAGGUCAAUAUGAAAGCUUGUUAAGAUAUUUAUGCCUCGAAUUCAAGUUUUAUCCUAAUCCGUGUAACGCCCCUAAUACAUAUGAAACUGUUUGAAUUUGUAACCCUGUAAUGUAAUGAAUAUGAUAUAAUAGGUUCAAAAUUCGCUACGCGUUUCACGGGUUAAAAAGACCUUAUAUAGUUUGGUUUCAAUAGCCCUUAUAGAGGGUAGUGUGAUUUUUGAUAUUUAUAAACAAAUUAUGGAAUGUAUGAGAAGUGAAGACUGCAUAUGUAUGGAAACCAAACUAUGUUGGCAUGAAAUUGUUCGUAGGUUCACAGAUCUGUAUAAACUAUAUGAAUAUCUUGAAUAACCUUAUUGACAAGUGACCUCAUUGAUGUAAAAUAAAUGUCAAAAUAAUAGUAGUUAAUUAAUAUACAGUAGGUACCUACACGCACGAGUUCCGUGCAUUUUCGAGUUGAAACGGGAGGGUAUGUCGGGCCAAGAGGGACUACCCCGCAAUAAACGUAUUUUACGUUUGCCUCGUAAACUGAGUUUUUUUUUCUGGUAGAGUACUUACCAUAAUAUUGUGUUGUUACCUGCAUGCACAAUGUGGUACCCUUCGAUCGAAAGCGUCACAUGGGGUAAAAGUUACCCAUACGGCAUCAGUAAAGUAAAUAAAUAAUCAGUGAACACUCUUGGGGCCCACAGAUUACCAGUUCGCCGGACGAUAUCAGCCUGUCAGUUAAUCGCAAAAGGUGACAGUUCCGAAUAACUGACAUGCUGAUAUCAUCCGGCGGACUGGUAAUCUGUGGGCCGCUUAAUUCCUAAAGUAUCAUUCUAUGAAACUUGCUAACUAUGUAAACAAAACUCACUACUAAAUUCAUAAUUCUUUGACAAUUUCAAUAUGACGGUUUGUUUACAUAGUUAGCAAGUUCCAUAGAAUGACACUUUAAUCAUGGAGGUGACGGUCGUGAAAACUUGGUGCUAAAUUUUGGUCAUGUAGAUACCAGUGAAUGGGUUUACUCUACUUUUGCAGAGUUGGGUUAAAUUCAUAAAUUUUGGUUAAAAUUCUAAAUUAAGAAUGGUCUGAUAAAUACAGCCUCCCGUAUUUAUUUCCGCCUAUUAAAAUCACCUGAAAAACUAACUAGAUAUUGUUAAAAUUGAGAAAAAAACGAAUUCAGUGCCUAAAGUUUAAAAUAACUCUUCUGGGCGAUCCUGUGCCAUUUCAAAUUAAACUAAAAAUCCAGUUGAAACAUAUUUUAUUCGAUAUGAAGUGAAUUGUACAUAAUAUUACAUUAAAGGAAUGUGUAAAUCUUAAAUAUAAGACAAACUUGAAUAAAUACUUUGUUAAUUAAACAUUUGUUUUACAA